GCAUUAGUGGUGUAGCGGUAACAUUGGGUCUUCCCAUUCCGUGGUGUGGCCUAGCUCCGGGUUCGACUCCCGGCUGAUGCA